AGCCAGACUCCUACGGGAGGCAGCAGUGGGGAAUAUUGCACAAUGGGGGAAACCCUGAUGCAGCGACGCCGCGUGAGUGAAGAAGUAUUUCGGUAUGUAAAGCUCUAUCAGCAGGGAAGAAAAUGACGGUACCUGACUAAGAAGCCCCGGCUAACUACGUGCCAGCAGCCGCGGUAAUACGUAGGGGGCAAGCGUUAUCCGGAUUUACUGGGUGUAAAGGGAGCGUAGACGGCAUGGCAAGUCAGAUGUGAAAGCCCGGGGCUCAACCCCGGGACUGCAUUUGAAACUGUCAGGCUGGAGUGCAGGAGAGGUAAGUGGAAUUCCUAGUGUAGCGGUGAAAUGCGUAGAUAUUAGGAGGAACACCAGUGGCGAAGGCGGCUUACUGGACUGUAACUGACGUUGAGGCUCGAAAGCGUGGGGAGCAAACAGGAUUAGAUACCCGAGUAGA
rnacentral:rRNA from 1 species